rnacentral:lncRNA from 1 species
AGGAAAUGAUGCACCCGGUUGCAGGCGGGAACCCAGCGUUCUGCGGGCCUGGCAAGCCUCCCUGCCUCAGUGAUGACGCCGCCAUGAGAGCCGCUGAUCAGUUUGAUCUGUACUCCUCCCAGCAAAGCAAGUACAGCCACACAGUCAGCCACAAACCCAUGCUCUGUCAGAGGCAAGACCCAUUAAACGAAGCACACUUGCAGCCUACCAGUGGCAGAAACACAGAGAUAAAAGAUGAA